AGGUUGAAACAUCGGUUCCCGUACAAUCACCGAGGUUAAGCAACGUCGAGCCUGGUCACUACUUAGCUGGGUGACCACUUGCGAUUACCCAGUGGGCUG